rnacentral:pre_miRNA from 1 species
CUUCUACUCCCUCUGUCCGGAAAUACUUGUCGGAGAAAUGCAUAAAAUGGAUAUAUCUAGAACUAAAAUACAUCUAGAUACAUCCAUUCCUUCGACAAGUAUUUCCGGACGGAGGGAGUAUGAU